rnacentral:tRNA from 1 species
UCCUGGGAUAGCUCAGUCAGUACAACAUGAGACUCUUGAUCUCAGGGUUGUGGGUUUGAGUACCACAUUGGGCA